CCCGGCAUUAAUGCUGUCACAUGUAAAGGGACAGACAGACCCUGUGGUGAGGCGUAAGCUCUGCACUGGGGGUGGUAUUAACAGAUACUACAUACCAAGAAAGACAUCAAGAAAAAAAAAUCCUGAAAUUGCCUCCAUCAGCAUGGCUUUGAGAUGAGGGAAUCAGUGACACAGAGCCUUUGGAAAGUGGUUUGCAAAGCUCCACUUAGAGGGGUCUCCAAAACACAUCCCUGUCUGACAGGGACCUGGAAUCUGUGUGAUCGAGUCUCCACAUGGAUCUGUCUCUUCUAUUGCAGAGCUGCUGCUGAAUUCUGGACUGAAUCCCACCUGGUUCAAUACUCAGAAACUUCUGCUAAGCGCAAUCUGGCACAGAACUGCGAGGUGCACUGCCAUUAGCAGCUCAGAAUAACAGCUCCACCGAAAAUGGAAACCCUAGCCUUCAGCUGGGACAAGUUGAGCAAGAGGAACUAAAAUCCACUCAGUGCAAGUUCUUCUGCUCCUGCCAGAGGUAACCAUCAGCCAAAGAACUCCUCAUGGGUACUGGCAGGUCAUAGAGCUGAUUUCUGGUCUCCCACAAAGUGCUAUGUUGUUUUUAUUACAAAAAAAUUACCUGCAAGCUGCAUUUGUUCUGGUAAUCUCAGUGGCACAUCUCACUGCAUGUAUCUGCCCCUCUGGCAGGGCAAACAUACUUAUUAAGAGGAAAAAAGGGGGCUUCACUGGUCUAUUCUUAUGAGUUUCCAUCUCUUGCUUGCCAAACUGAGUAUUAGCACCAUUCCUGUUCUCGCUGCCAUAGCUCAGUUCUCUGGGUCUUCCAUCCCAUCAGGCAGAGCUGGGAGCUGGCAAGAAGUGGGGCUCAGUGGGACGACACUAAAGGUGCCUUGGCUCUAGCAGAGACGGUGGCACCAGAGGUAGCACCUCUCCCACCACCACAGCCCCUGCAAGACACUGACUAGCCACAUGUUCAGAGCAGCCUGUGCUAAAACUGAAGCAGAAUAACUUCAGUGAGCAGACAAGUUCAAAUUGAAGCUGAUUCAAAAUAGACUCAACUGAUUUCUCCUUACAUUAUAAAUAUAUAUUCAUCAUUUAUUUUAGAGAAGCCCAGGGCCCUUCCAAACAAUGCUAGGGAUUUCACUACUCUUGAGUAGAUUUACUAGGAAGUUAAAGCUCCUCAUGUCUUAAAGCUCCUCAUGUCUGAAAGACAUGAAGUAAAUUCCUUUGAAAGUAAACUCAGCACAGUCAAGCUUUUUAAGAUGUAAUAUCAAACUAUCAGAGCUUUUCAACAAUACAAGUUGGAGCACAGCUCAAGCUACUUCAGCGCACACCCAGCCCAAGCAGCAUCACUGCCUAAGCAGAUAAGGGAUCUGUCACCUCCCAGAAGCACUCUAUUUAGGGUAUCAAACCACCCAGGUGAUACACAGGUCCUGAUACACAGGGCCCUGUGCUCAACACAGGUGGACGGAAAGGCUAACCUCCAACUCACAAAGUCCUUCCCCUCUGUCCUACACAGGGCCUUGCAAGCAGGGACAGAUUUUUAAUAAAUUUGUUGUAUGAGAAUGUUUUGAGAGUAGGAAAGCAAACGCAGUGUUACACCUUAAAAAAAAAAAAAAAAAAAAAAAAGAGGGGGGAGAUGUGAAGCUGAAACUGUUUUUUGUCAGGGCUAUUCUUAAUAACAAGCAAAGCUUUGGAACAAAUUUUGAGGGAAAGUAAAUAAAAGAAUACUGAGGUGAACAGAGACUGUAAUAAAUAUUGCACAGAUGUAGCAAGAAGAGAUCAAGUCUGACUCAUCUAAUCUCCUUUGACAAAAUAACUAUUGUUUCUCAUGAGUGAAAUGUGGUGGACUUUAUCUGUAGUGCAGACAGAUUAGUUCUCCUGCACCUGACUUGUUUUAAAAAUAUAUUUUGAUAUAACACUGUGCCUGACAGAAAAUCAUUAGUUCA
ensembl:lncRNA